GACGAACGCUGGCGGCGUGCUUAACACAUGCAAGUCGAACGAAGUGGCGAACGGGUGAGUAAUACGUGGGUAACCUGCCCUCCUUUUUGGGAUAAGCCUUGGAAACGGGGUCUAAUACCGAAUAAAGGGGGAGGGGCUCGCGGCCUAUCAGGUUGUUGGUGGGGUGAUGGCCUAACAAGGCGGUGACGGGUAGCCGGCCUGGGAGGGUGACCGGCAACAGUGGGACGGCGAGACGGCCAAGACGCCGACGGGAGGCAGCAGUGGGGGAUAGUGCACAAUGGGCGAAAGGCUGAUGCAGCGACGCGGCGUGGGGGAUGAAGGCUUUCGGGUUGUAAACCUCUUUCGCAAGCGAACGGGUAGGUGGAGAAGAAGCGCCGGCUAACUACGUGCCAGCAGCCGCGGUAAUAC
rnacentral:rRNA from 1 species